CUCAUAACUGAGGUGGCUACUAAAUGACUAACAGGUGGUAGAGGAGUAAUGUAUACAGCAUGGAGACACUGGGCACAGGAAAAUUGCAAGGUCCACUCCAGAGCCCAUGCCAUUGACUAUAACACUGGAAGUCUGUAAUGUGACUUGCUUAAAUCAAGCAGUUCAAAAAGAUCGUGAUUUCCAUCUUGCUGCCACCCUUUCUGACUGGCAGCUCUUGCUUUGAUGAAGUGAGCUGUCAUGCUGUGAGCACCCUACGGAGAGACCACAUGGCAGGGAAUAGAGGACAGCCUCUGGCCAACUAAUCACCAGUGAGGAACUGAGUUGCUCUGUGCAACCACCCAGCAAUGAAUUGAAUUCUGCCAACAACUGCAUGAGUGAGCUCAGAUGUGGGUUCUUCCCCAGCUGGGCUUUGAGUUACGGACUGAAUGUUUGUGUUCUACAAUUGAUAUGUUUAAGUCCUCAUUCCUGAUGUGAUGGUAUUAGGAGACAAGGCUUUGGGAGGUAACAAAGUCAUGAGGGUAGAACCCAGAGAGCUAUCUCACUUUUUCUGCCAUGUGAGGAUACAAUGAGACGUCAGUUGUCUGCAACCCAGAAGAGGGCUUUCACCAGAGCCCAACCAUGCUGAUACAUGAUCUUGGACUUCCCAGCCUGCAGAAAUGUGAGAAAUAAAUUUUUGUCGUUUAUAA